UAGUAGAGGAGGGGUUUUAACCUUCAUGUUUGG
rnacentral:tRNA from 1 species